AGCUUGCCAUUUGCAGCUGCCAUGAACGGUGGUCCAGCCAUGCCCACCUGUCUUGGAGCCAACUGAGUGUGGACUGAAACCUCCAAAAACUGACAUCUGGUGUGUGGGGCAGGGGAUGACACACCAUGGGAAGAGAAAAUAGCCUCUUUACUGUUUUAGAAAUGGAGAUUAUUAAGAAAUAAAGGAACUACAGUGGCCUUUCUGAGGCUGGCAGCUCUCCCCUGGACCAGGGCUUGAGUUUCACAGACGAAAACCCGAGGGCAGGAGAUGACAGAGAUGCUUUGUUGUCCCCUUCAGUGACUUGGACGAGGCUGCUGCAAAGAUCCCUGGGGCUCGAGGGCUCGGGGGAGGUCACCUGCUCAACAGCCUGCGGAGUAACCGGGCCAACUCGGGAAACACAGCCAGCUUCGCAGAGAACCAGAAAGUGCGCUUGUGGUUCUUUCUGUUUCCUCCCGGAGGAAAAACUCGGGUUUCAUUCAGGACCACCACGUUGGAAAUGCUCAGAACUGGGCAGCGGAGCCCCAGGCUUCACACCCACUCCUGGUGUGAAGUCCACGCAUGGCUGCUUUGCUAGGACCGUCCCCAACCCAGUCAACUGUGGCUGGAAGGCCGUUUGUGUCCACUAACAAAUCCCGCUGUACUGAUACAAUCGCUUGUGCGGGAGAGUCUGCUGGAGUCACUAAAAGCACUGUGAUUCAGGGUGGUUUACCCAGCUGGAGCGCUCGAAGGAAACAAAGAAGAGAAAACCACCCUGGAAGGAGUUUCUAGGACUACUAUGUAUCCCAGCGGCUAGCAACAAAGUUUCUGGUCAGCUGCUUGUUACUCAGUCAGAAUCCUCCCUCAAGAUUCUGGGCCAAGUAUAGACUCUGAAUAUAGAAUGCAAGUGUGAACACAGAUGAUGUGUGGUUCAGAAAAGAUGAACAAAAUGGAGCCGAGAAAGAAAGAAUAAAGACUUUCUUUCCAAGGAAGGAAGAAUAAAGAUAACACUUUGAGGGGACAGGGGACACAGCUCAGUGGCACAGGGUCUGCCUGGCAAGCUCUAGGUUUUGAGUUUGGUAUGGGGAGAAGGAGGAGAAGGAAGAGGAAGAGGAGGAGGAGGAGGAGAAGAAAAAAAAUAAAGAAGACAACUUCUGUUUACAUACCUGCUUGAUUCAUCAUUGUUGAUUCACUCCUGCAUAAGAAGUAGUUUGUUAAUAUUGGAUACUUUGUAAGCAAAUUAUCAGCAGAGUAACAAACUUGAAUGCUUAAACUUGUAUAGCAAUCAUGAAUUUCUCUGAACAUAUGAAAAUAGAAAGCUGAUUGAAUGGUUCCUAUCUGUUAGUGACAAGGAAGUAAUAUGUCAAAUGAAAGAUGUUUUUUAACUAGUGAAAAAUCACCAUCAAUUAGUACUUAUGCAACUGUUAUUUUUAAAGGUUUAACUAUACUGAGAUACUGGAAUAAUUUUUAAUGCAUGGCAAUAAACACAAACACUUAAUGUUUAUUCCUUCAUAACCCUUGUUCUUACAAGUUUUUGGAAUCCUAAAUUGAAAAUUUUCUAAAGUUUCAUGAAACUAAUGGUACAACACUGUAAAUUAGAGGCAAAUUCUUGUCUA